rnacentral:rRNA from 1 species
UACGAAGGGUGCAAGCGUUACUCGGAAUUACUGGCGUAAAGCGUGCGUAGGCGGUUUGUUAAGUCCGCUGUGAAAGCCCUGGGCUCAACCUGGGAAUUGCAGUGGAUACUGGCAAGCUAGAGUGCGGUAGAGGAUGGUGGAAUUCCCGGUGUAGCGGUGAAAUGCGUAGAGAUCGGGAGGAACACCCGUGGCGAAGGCGGCCAUCGUG